UCAUCAUCAAUUGACUGGACUGGCCAUGACCAUCGGAAAAGGUCUAGCCUGAGGCUACUGUACUGGAUUUUUCGGUGUCUAGUAUAGCCUUGCCCAGACAGGGGGGCCCUUGAAGUCCGGAUCAGAUUGGGAUGUGUUGUUCCUAUUACAGCUGCCCUUGCCCCUUGGCCCAUCUCAGAUACUGUAAACAGAUCGUUAAACUAAAUAUUUAUUGUUUAGUCUGGGAACAUUCGCAGUGGCUUCAAGAAAGGCGAUCUUGAAUGAGUAACAGCAUGGGGAUAAAGAUAUAUACCUAUUUCGAUAUUUGCUGUCAUCUCUAGCACAGUCUGAGGAAUUAUGUUUCACUUCAGCCACAAGCAAUUCGUUUUGCCAGAUCAACUUCAAUUUCUGCUAAUAGUUUUUCUGGUUUUGUAAAUUAAUCAUGUUUUCCAGACUUCAAAUGUUUAGUCUAGAAAGUUUAUAUUUAUUUGAAAAAUGACACUUCAAUUUGCAAGAAGAAAUAAAGUUAAAAUAAAAGAU